ensembl:lincRNA predicted gene 28324
GGUGGGGGGUAACCCUCGAAGGCUUCACUCUGACAGCCCCCGGCGGCAGUGAUGAAUUCGAGAAGUUAUCUCAUUUCCCACUGUUUUAAUUAGAGACUUGGGCUCUGAGGCCUUGCAGCUGGCUGCUUUGUGCCUCGUUCUGUUGCCUGACAGAGAAAAAUGUCUCCAUGAUGUCAGCCAAGCUCCCUGCCAGACCCGAGCAAGCAAAACUUCUGAGAUUCAUAAACUUGUGGUUUGGGGCCCGAGUGCCAUUGAAGCUGGGCC